CCCUUAGAUGUUCUGGGCUGCACGCGCGCUACACUGAUGCGCUCAACGAGUUUAUGACCUUGCCCGGAAGGGUUGGGUAAUCUUCUUAAAACGCAUCGUGAUGGGGAUAGAUUAUUGCAAUUAUUAAUCUUCAACGAGGAAUUCCUAGUAAGCGCGAGUCAUCAGCUCGUGCUGAUUACGUCCCUGCCCUUUGUACACACCGCCCGUCGCUACUACCGAUCGGAUGGUUUAGUGAGACCCUCGGACUGGUCCCGUCGAAGCAGGCGACUGCCUCGACGCGCGCGCCGGGAAGAAGGUCGAACUUGACUAUCUAGAGGAAGUAAAAGUCGUAACA
rnacentral:rRNA from 1 species